rnacentral:rRNA from 1 species
GAUGAACGCUGGCGGCGUGCUUAACACAUGCAAGUCGAACGAAGCACUUUAUUUGAUUUCCUUCGGGACUGAUUAUUUUGUGACUGAGUGGCGGACGGGUGAGUAACGCGUGGAUAACCUGCCUUGUACAGGGGGAUAACAGUUGGAAACGGCUGCUAAUACCGCAUAAGCGCACAGCAUCGCAUGAUGCAGUGUGAAAAACUCCGGUGGUAUAAGAUGGACCCGCGUUGGAUUAGCUAGUUGGUGAGGUAACGGCCCACCAAGGCGACGAUCCAUAGCCGACCUGAGAGGGUGACCGGCCACAUUGGGACUGAGACACGGCCCAAACUCCUACGGGAGGCAGCAGUGGGGAAUAUUGCACAAUGGGCGAAAGCCUGAUGCAGCGACGCCGCGUGAGCGAAGAAGUAUUUCGGUAUGUAAAGCUCUAUCAGCAGGGAAGAUAAUGACGGUACCUGACGAAGAAGCACCGGCUAAAUACGUG